rnacentral:rRNA from 1 species
AGGGUUUGAUCCUGGCUCAGGAUGAACGCUAGCGGCAGGCUUAACACAUGCAAGUCGAGGGGUAACAGAGUAGCUUGCUACUGCUGACGACCGGCGCACGGGUGCGUAACGCGUAUACAACUUGCCUUAUACUGGAGAAUAGCCCAGAGAAAUUUGGAUUAAUGCCCCAUAGUAUCAUCACCUCGCAUGGGGAGAUGAUUAAAGCUACGGCGGUAUAAGAUGGGUAUGCGUUAGAUUAGCUAGUUGGUGAGGUAACUGCUCACCAAGGCGACGAUCUAUAGGGGGCCUGAGAGGGUGAUCCCCCACACUGGUACUGAGACACGGACCAGACUCCUACGGGAGGCAGCAGUGAGGAAUAUUGGUCAAUGGACGCAAGUCUGAACCAGCCAUGCCGCGUGCAGGAAGACGGCCUUAUGGGUUGUAAACUGCUUUUAUAUAGGAAGAAACGCAGAUACGUGUAUUUGUUUGACGGUACUAUAUGAAUAAGGACCGGCUAACUCCGUGCCAGCAGCCGCGGUAAUACGGAGGGUCCAAGCGUUAUCCGGAUUUAUUGGGUUUAAAGGGUCCGUAGGCGGCUCUGUAAGUCAGUGGUGAAAUCGUGUGGCUUAACCAUACAACUGCCAUUGAAACUGCAGAGCUUGAGAUAGAUUGAAGUUGGCGGAAUAUAACAAGUAGCGGUGAAAUGCAUAGAUAUGUUAUAGAACACCAAUUGCGAAGGCAGCUGACUAAGUCUUGUCUGACGCUGAGGGACGAAAGCGUAUGUAGCGAACAGGAUUAGGUACCCUGGUAGUCUACGCAGUAAACGAUGAUUACUCGUUGCCGGCCAAUUGAGGUCGGUGACCAAGCGAAAGUAUUAAGUAAUCCACCUGGGGAGUACGCUCGCAAGAGUGAAACUCAAAGGAAUUGACGGGGGCCCGCACAAGC